UACGGAGGGUGCGAGCGUUAUCCGGAUUCACUGGGUUUAAAGGGUGCGUAGGUGGGUUGGUAAGUCAGUGGUGAAAUCUCCGAGCUUAACUUGGAAACUGCCAUUGAUACUAUCAGUCUUGAAUACCGUGGAGGUCAGCGGAAUAUGUCAUGUAGCGGUGAAAUGCUUAGAUAUGACAUAGAACACCAAUUGCGAAGGCAGCUGACUACGCGAAUAUUGACACUGAUGCACGAAAGCGUGGGGAUCAAACAGG
rnacentral:rRNA from 1 species